rnacentral:ncRNA from 1 species
CGACCAAGGAGAAAAGCAGGAGCGGCUCGCUCCUCGCCCACGGUGCAAGCCGCCCCGCCGGCGGUGAAACUCUCAGGCCAAUGACUCCGGGGAGCUG